AUUGAACGCUGGCGGAAUGCUUUACACAUGCAAGUCGAACGGCAGCACGGACUUCGGUCUGGUGGCGAGUGGCGAACGGGUGAGUAAUGUAUCGGAACGUGCCCAGUCGUGGGGGAUAACGUAGUGGAAAUUACGCUAAUACCGCAUACGAUCUAUGGAUGAAAGCGGGGGAUCGCAAGACCUCGCGCGAUUGGAGCGGCCGAUAUCAGAUUAGGUAGUUGGUGGGGUAAAGGCCCACCAAGCCAACGAUCUGUAGCUGGUCUGAGAGGACGACCAGCCACACUGGAACUGGGACACGGUCCAGACUCCUACGGGAGGCAGCAGUGGGGAAUUUUGGACAAUGGGCGAAAGCCUGAUCCAGCCAUUCCGCGUGCAGGAUGAAGGCCCUCGGGUCGUAAACUGCUUUUGUACAGAACGAAAAGGUUUCUACUAAUACUAGGAGCUCAUGACGGUACUGUAAGAAUAAGCACCGGCUAACUACGUGCCAGCCGCCGCGGUAA
rnacentral:rRNA from 1 species